AUUGAACGCUGGCGGCAUGCUUUACACAUGCAAGUCGGACGGCAGCACAGAGAAGCUUGCUUCUUGGGUGGCGAGUGGCGAACGGGUGAGUAACAUAUCGGAACGUACCGAGCAGUGGGGGAUAACUAAUCGAAAGAUUAGCUAAUACCGCAUAUCUUCUGAGGAAGAAAGCAGGGGACCAUUUGGCCUUGCGCUGUUUGCGCGUCCGUUAUUUGAUUCGCUAGUUGGUGGGGUAAAGGCCUACCAAGGCGACGAUCAGUAGCGGGUCUGAGAGGAUGAUCCGCCACACUGGGACUGAGACACGGCCCAGACUCCUACGGGAGGCAGCAGUGGGGAAUUUUGGACAAUGGGCGCAAGCCUGAUCCAGCCAUGCCGCGUGUCUGAAGAAGGCCUUCGGGUUGUAAAGGACUUUUGUCAGGGAAGAAAAGGGCGGGGUUAAUACCCCUGUCUGAUGACGGUACCUGAAGAAUAAGCACCGGCUAACUACGUG
rnacentral:rRNA from 1 species